AGUGAACGCUGGCGGUAGGCCUAACACAUGCAAGUCGAACGGCAGCACAGGAGAGCUUGCUCUCUGGGUGGCGAGUGGCGGACGGGUGAGGAAUACAUCGGAAUCUACUCUGUCGUGGGGGAUAACGUAGGGAAACUUACGCUAAUACCGUAUACGACCUACGGGUGAAAGCAGGGGACCUUCGGGCCUUGCGCGAUUGAAUGAGCCGAUGUCGGAUUAGCUAGUUGGCGGGGUAAAGGCCCACCAAGGCUACGAGCCGUAGCUGGUCUGAGAGGAUGAUCAGCCACACUGGAACUUAGACACGGUCCAGACUCCUACGGGAGGCAGCAGUGGGGAAUAUUGGACAAUGGGCGCAAGCCUGAUCCAGCCAUACCGCGUGGGUGAAGAAGGCCUUCGGGUUGUAAAGCCCUUUUGUUGGGAAAGAAAUCCAGCUGGCUAAUACCCGGUUGGGAUGACGGUACCCAAAGAAUAAGCACCGGCUAACUUCGUGCCAGCAGCCGCAGUAA
rnacentral:rRNA from 1 species